UACGGGGGGGGCAAGCGUUGUUCGGAAUUACUGGGCGUAAAGGGCUCGUAGGCGGCCAACUAAGUCAUACGUGAAAUCCCUCGGCUUAACCGGGGAACUGCGUCUGAUACUGGAUGGCUUGAGUUCGGGAGAGGGAUGCGGAAUUCCAGGUGUAGCGGUGAAAUGCGUAGAUAUCUGGAGGAACACCGGUGGCGAGGGCGGCAUCCUGGACCGAUACUGACGCUGAGGAGCGAAAGCCAGGGGAGCAAACGGG
rnacentral:rRNA from 1 species